ACGCGCAGGCAGCGGGGCGGGGGCGCGUCCCUCGCCGAGUUAAGAGGGGGGCCUCCGGGCCCGGCGCGCGGCAGACUUCGCCGCGGGCCCCCGGGCGAGGAUGCUGCGGCCGGGUCUGGCGCAUCCCGGGCCACGGCGGCCCUGGCUCUGCGCAGAACCUUCUCCACCUCCUGCCAAAAUAGCAGGUUGUUUCCCUAGCCUGACCUCGGAAGUCGCAGGUCCGCUCUCUUCCUCUAAACGGCGAAGGAGGAACUGUGUGUGUCCGGGAGCGCGUUGAGGGCGAGCGCUUUCAACCAGCGAUGUUUGAUGAGAGCCCGUUCCCGAGUUAAAAUGCCUGUCACUUUGCAACUUCUCUGCUCUCUCCCCUCUUCGAGGGAGAAGUCAGGCGACUUUUAAAUCCCCACCCGGUAGAAUUAGAGUUUAUUUGCGCCGUAUACAGGUGGGAAAAUGAUGCUCCGUAAAAUCCUGGUUUUUCCAACAGCGUUUCACUUAAAAGAGCCUCCCAUCCUGCAGCGAGACAAUGGCAGUCGUGAAACACACAACAGAAGUGUUCACCUAGCGCCGCGUUGGCAGGGGAGAAGUUAAGGAAAACUUAAAGCAUAAGCGACCCCUGAAUAGGCUUCUGGCGGGACCGUUUUGUUCCGGUGCAAGUGGUGUUAGGACUGGAAAUGACAGCUCAAGACCUACACUUGGUUUGGAGCUGAGGCUGGGGCCUGACACCCCUCACCGCCCCGGGACUCUCGAAUUGGGCCUUUUUGCUUCCUUCACUGAAAUCAUGGCAGCUUUGAAGUGAAAUGAGGAAAAUGAUCCUCCUUUUUGCCCUGGAGUUUAUUACCUCUGCAUUAAAAUGUGUCUCUCAUGGGCAGAAAUGUAAACAAUCUUCUAUUUUAUACUUUGUUUUAAAGACCUUUUACUUGAAUCGGUUAAAAAAAAAAAGGAUUUAAAAUGGACAGCCAAAUUUAGGUUUGUUUGUUGUGGAGUUUUGUGUUUGAGGGAGGGAGUGACUUUUAAGUUAUUUUUCAAGGCUAAUAUUGAUUACUUUUCAUUGUUUGCAGAUGUUAAUCCUUCAGUGAAGGCAUUUUAAGGAAUAAAUGAAAAAAUAACAGUGGGUUAAGCCCACUCAUAAGAACUGUAGCCUGCCCCCCUCCUUUUUUUCUUAACCUGUGACAGAGCCUCAUGAAAAUCGAGCUUGGGAUGUAAAAAACAUCUUAAGUUGAAUUUUAGGCCUCCAAAUGAAAAAUGUCCAUUUGCGUUAAUCCAAUAGAAUUCUCAGACUUUAUGGAAUUGUCAGCUUACGAUGUUUAUUUUUUUUAUUUAUAUCGUAUUAGGACUUUACAUGUGGAUAUUUCUUCGGUAAUUGGCAGAUGUGGGGAAAAGUCAGAAGGCCCUUUAAAAGAUACAGACUUAUUCUCUGGGUGAAAUUUUAUAGUUCUGAAAAGCACGUCUCAAAGACAAAGCUCUUAACUGAUAACAUUGACUGUUCUCUUUUUGAAAUUUUAAAUGGAUUAAGAAGGGAGGUUUUAUACUUCAUACUUGGGCAUAGUUUUUGAAAAUGCAAGUGGAAAAGAAGUUAAGAAUAUCAUUUUUGUACAAUGUAAUAACUAGACAGCUAUUCUAGAGGCUAUAAAAAUGCUUGAGGAAAUAAAAUAAGAAGGUAGCAUAAAAUUAUGUAUUGUACUGUUAGAAUUUUAAGGAGAAUGCAUACUUGUAAGUCUCAAAUACUCAAGUGAGCGGUAUUAAAGUGGAUCAAAUAGAAGAAUUUUCUUGCAUAUCAUUUUUUCUCAGAUUAAAAAAUAUGUAUUUAUUUUGGUUUGUCUUAAAAUUGAAGUUAUAGUUAAAUUUUGUUGGUACCUAUAUGGGAUAAUACAAAGGUUGGUAAGAUGUCUUUUGCUUGGCACAUUGACAUUUAAUGACAGGUAUCCUUAAAUUUUUCAUAGAGUUGCCACAGUUUUUCUUCGCUUGAUGUAUUUGGGUAGUUUUAGCAUAUAAACACCAUAGGGUCUCUUAACAAACUUACAUUGUAAAAAAGCAAUAGAUUAAAUCCCUGAUUAUUAACAUUUCAAGGAUGGAAACCUACUUUCAAAUAAAAAUGCCUUUUUGAGGACAUUUUAGAAUACAUAUAAGGGUAUGAUUCUGGGAGACUGUUUUUGAUAGUUCUUUUCCUAUUCUUUGAAAUCAUAAAGUAAAUUAACAAAAGAAUCAAUAAUUAUGUUUUAACAGUUUCUUGUAUUUAACAGACUGUUUCCUUAAUAGUAAUCUCCCAAGUGUUUCAGAAAUUUGUGUAAGAGCAAGAAAGUUUAUUUUCUGUUCAGAUGUAUUUUGUAGACUAGAAAAAAAAAGUUUAUGAAUUUAGAGUAGGCCAGUCUUAAAUAAUAAGAAACAAUGAAAUUUGAUCUUUGUAUUGUAAAUGUGUUUUCACUGAGGACUUUUAAACUGUGUCCUCUCUUUAAACACAUAAGUAGUAUAGAAAGUAAAUCAGAUAUUUCAUUGGCAAAAUAUAAGUGCCCUAAUGCUUUGAUAAUGAUUAUUGAGACUUCUUUCCCCCACAUCUUAUAUAAGCAGUGGGGUCCAGAAAAUUAUCAAAAUAAUUUUGGAUAAGAUUGAGAUGAAGUGAAAAAAAUCCACGCAUGAUUAUGGUAUAUAUGUAUGUUGUUUUCCAACAGUGAAAGAGUGAAAAAGAAGAGUUUAGGAUCAAAAUUUAUCCAUGUUAAUCAGAUUCCCUAGCAUUUUCUACUUUAUUGUGUAAUUGACUUUUUAGCUAAUAUGUAGUUAUUCCGUGUUUUAAUACAGCAGACAUCAGAAAAAAAUAAAUCUCAUUUAAGAAUCAAUAAUCUUGGCUUUAUCAAAUAUACAGACUACUCUAUAUUGUCUACCUAUCAACAUUCAAGCUAUUCAACAUUUGAGACAAUUUACAAACUAAAUAUAUUAUAAACAUUAAUUAAAGAAGUAAUUUUCAUUUUAAGAGAACUCCUUCUGAGGGGUUAUUUUUAACAUUACAGAUAGCACUAUCCUUUGAGUAAAAUAAGAAUUAAUUACAAAUUAUACUUUUAGCAAAGGGAAAAUGCAAUUUUUAUUGGUCUUGGGGGGCAUGUAUGCUAAGUAGUUUGUGGCCCAGUUUCCAUUUCUGUAUCUGUGCUGCCUCUGACCACGGAUUGGGUACUGCGGGAGGAAAGACUGUGAGUAGAAAGUUAAUAAAAAAGCUACAUGAGUUGAUCAUAGUUCUGCUCAGAAACCUAUGUCCACCUGAAUUCAGAACCAGAAGAGAAAUUCUGACAGUCUGUUUCCCCAGCCCUUUUACAUCGAUUUCUGAGAGUUAGCAGUGGCAGAGAAGAGUUGUUGUCUCUGCCAUUUGCAAAGCCGACUGCUUGAUCCACAGCAAAUCAAACCCAGGAAAUCUUUUAGUCUUGUCCAUUUCAGUUCCACUUCCUUGCCAGGGGCAUAACAGCUGAAGUUAAAAGACUUAUACCCAAAUGGGAAAAUUAGUGCCAUUUGUGUAGAGGCAGUAGCCUUAUUCAAACUGCUUUCAACCUAAUUGGAAAAAAAAAAAAAAAAAAAAAAAAGACAGACUAUGACUUGAUUAGAAGUCCUCUGGGGUGGGUAGCACGUAGGAGACUAUGGCUCAAGAAUGCUUUUAGGUUUUUCACUUAUUUUGAAUUAGUUAUAGUUUGCAUUGUAUUCUCGGGUUUGUGUGUGUGUGUGUGUGUGUGUGUGUGUGUGUGUGUGUGUCUGUCUGUCUGUCUGUGUCAGUGUGUCAGUGUCCUUUUCUUCAGCUUCUACAAUUUGGAAUAGGCAAAAAGUACCAAAAUGGUAAACUUUAAAGUGACCAAGAUGGCAUCGGGUUGGUCAUGUUAAAGUUCUUCCACUACUCCAGCACGUCUAUAACAGAGGUAAUGCCCCGCUGGAUUUACUUCCGUGUAUUGUAAAUUUAGGGUUUUUUUUGUUUUGUUUUGUUUUGUUUUGUUUUGUUUUGUUUUGUUCUUUUGCUUAGAAGUAAUCUCAGUUUUGAGAAGGGGAGCAGAGAAGGAAAAGAACUUUGCCUAAAAACCAGUGCCAUCCAACAACCGAUGUCUUCAAUUAGCUCUGUCAAAUUUCGGGUGAACUUUGGCCCUGUUAGUAAAUUGGAUAUGUAUUAAAGAAGAUUUUUAACAAAUCAGCUCAGAAAGGCCUGCUCCAGAAACUUGUGGUGCCUCACAGGAGUUAUGGACUAGGGGUAGACUUUAGUAUGGGAAGCUCUGUGUUUGAGGCCCAGCUGAGCACUUAACUUCUGGUCAUGUGACAUGGGCACAUCUCCUAAAAGCUCUCCACCUCACUUUCCACAUUUGUUAAAUGAGAUUAUUAAUGUUAAUCUAGUACCUUCCUCACAGGGCUGUUGGGAGAAUCAAAUGAGCUUUACAUAUGUGGAAGUAUUUUGUAAGCAUACCUGAAUGUUUUUAGUGACAGGGGAGAGAUCGUUUUGGAAUUACUUCCAAAGAGAAGAAGAAAUUAAAGAAUGCGAUGAAUUCAUUUUUUUGUUCUCUCCAGUCACCAAAGCUCUUGAGCCUUUAUGACCUCACCUAAAUAUAGAACUUCCUAAUCAGUUGUCCAUGGAUCACAAGUGACCCACAGAGAGAAUUCAGGGGAUCAUGAACUUGGAUGCAAAAAAAAAAAAAAUGUGUUUGCAUUCUAUUUGUGCUAACCACUAAUUGGAAUUUAGCAUUUCCUUCAAUUUUGAGUGGAGGCAACAAGUUGCAGUAGUAUUUUAGCAGGACCUGUGAUUUUAUCACCGCUAAAAAUGACAAGUAAUUUAUAUUACAUUACAGUUGUUGCUGACAUCUAGAAAUACUGUCUACGGGUGACCCAUCUUUGACAUAACGUUAGUUACAAGACAUCUGCUAGAUCUUGUUAUUUAAUAUGUUAAGAAUCCCGUGUAUGACUAUACUAUAUGUGCAUUUUAAUAUUUAGGUAUUUCAAUGUAAUUGGUUUCCUUUGUAACCUAGUAUGCUGUAUUUUAUGCAUUUCAUGUGAGAAGGGGUCCAUAGAUGCAAAAACUUUUUUUGAAGUUUUUAUUCUGACAGAGGGCCUACUGGCUUAACCAGAUACUGAUAUUAAAAGGAUUACUGGUACAUUAGCUACUCACAUAGCCACAUCUGAUAGUGUACUCCAUGGUGAGAAAAUCCAGUUAGUCAAGUUAAAAUAGCUUAACGUUACAAUAUAACGAAACAGUGCCCUGGACAAUACGAGGCACAGAUCUCUUCAUCUGGUGUCACCUCUCUCAUGCAUGGUGGAUUCAGGCCAGACUCUGCAGUGCACUCAGAGGGGUGAAGAUCACAGGGCAUGACAAGCCACAUACGUACCCUCCAGUUUAGAUGUCUCCUAACAUCUGUAGGUGAUGUCUAAACAAUAGAAUAAGAAUGUUAUUAUUCUUGUUCCAUAAGGAUGGAAUAAGAAUGUGCAGCUAGAAACCCAAACAGGAAGAUAAAUAUUUACAUUUCAUUUUUAAAUUUUAUUUUGUGCUUUUGCAAUUGUCCAUUUGACAUAAAAAAAUGGCAAUAAUUAAGAUUACUCUGCUCCCAUGGUCUUUGUUUAAAUGUCAGAACACUCAUGGAAUGCCUAAUAUAUUUGCAUCUUCCUCCUCAAAUAGAGUUUUAGUUUCUUGAGAUGGCAAGAUGUCUUAUCAUAUUUUCUGCUGAUUUUAUUUAGCACCUAAUAAGAGAUAAUAAAUUAUACUGGUGUAUACUUUGAAUGGUUAA